GACGUAGGAGGCGAGCGUUAUCCGGAUUCACUGGGCGUAAAGCGCAUGUAGGCGGUUGCACAAGUCCGUUGUUAAAGCCCCUGGCUCAACUGGGGGAGGUCAAUGGAGACUGUGCGACUUGAGGGCAAUAGAGGCACGUGGAACUCCCGGUGUAGCGGUGGAAUGCGUAGAGAUCGGGGAGAACACCAGUGGCGAAGGCGACGUGCUGGGUUGCACCUGACGCUGAGAUGCGAAAGUGUGGGGAGCAAACGGG
rnacentral:rRNA from 1 species